rnacentral:rRNA from 1 species
UAAUACGGAGGGUGCGAGCGUUAAUCGGAAUUACUGGGCGUAAAGCGCGCGUAGGUGGCUUGAUAAGCCGGUUGUGAAAGCCCCGGGCUCAACCUGGGAACGGCAUCCGGAACUGUCAAGCUAGAGUGCAGGAGAGGAAGGUAGAAUUCCCGGUGUAGCGGUGAAAUGCGUAGAGAUCGGGAGGAAUACCAGUGGCGAAGGCGGCCUUCUGGACUGACACUGACACUGAGGUGCGAAAGCGUGGGUAGCAAACAGGA